rnacentral:rRNA from 1 species
GCCUUACCAUGCAGUCGAACGGCAGCACGGGAGCAAUCCUGGUGGCGAGUGGCGAACGGGUGAGUAAUGUAUCGGAACGUACCUUUCAGUGGGGGAUAACGUAGCGAAAGUUACGCUAAUACCGCAUAUUCUGUGCGCAGGAAAGCAGGGGAUCGCAAGACCUUGCGCUGAUUGAGCGGCCGAUAUCAGAUUAGCUAGUUGGUGAGGUAAAGGCUCACCAAGGCGACGAUCUGUAGCGGGUCUGAGAGGAUGAUCCGCCACACUGGAACUGAGACACGGUCCAGACUCCUACGGGAGGCAGCAGUGGGGAAUUUUGGACAAUGGGGGCAACCCUGAUCCAGCCAUGCCGCGUGAGUGAAGAAGGCCUUCGGGUUGUAAAGCUCUUUCGGCCGGGAAGAAAUCGCAUGGGUUAAUACCCUGUGCGGAUGACGGUACCGGCAUAAGAAGCACCGGCUAACUACGUGCCAGCAGCCGCGGUAAUACGUAGGGUGCGAGCGUUAAUCGGAAUUACUGGGCGUAAAGCGUGCGCAGGCGGUUUUGUAAGACAGGCGUGAAAUCCCCGGGCUCAACCUGGGAACUGCGCUUGUGACUGCAAGGCUAGAGUAUGGCAGAGGGGGGUGGAAUUCCACGUGUAGCAGUGAAAUGCGUAGAGAUGUGGAGGAACACCAAUGGCGAAGGCAGCCCCCUGGGCCAAUACUGACGCUCAUGCACGAAAGCGUGGGUAGCAAACAGGAUUAGAUACCCUGGUAGUCCACGCCCUAAACGAUGUCAACUAGGUGUUGGGUGGGUA